rnacentral:rRNA from 1 species
CAACAGGGAUUGCCUCAGUAACGGCGAGUGAAGCGGCAACAGCUCAAAUUUGAAAUCUGGCCCUUUCGGGUCCGAGUUGUAAUUUGUAGAGGAUGUUUCGGGUAAGAUCCUGGUCUAAGUUCCUUGGAACAGGACGUCAUAGAGGGUGAGAAUCCCGUACGUGACCGUGGAUCGCACCCGUGUGAAACUCCUUCGACGAGUCGAGUUGUUUGGGAAUGCAGCUCAAAAUGGGUGGUAAAUUUCAUCUAAAGCUAAAUAUUGGCCAGAGACCGAUAGCGCACAAGUAGAGUGAUCGAAAGAUGAAAAGCACUUUGAAAAGAGAGUUAAACAGUAUGUGAAAUUGUUGAAAGGGAAGCGCUUGCAACCAGACUUGUUCCGCGGGUUCAACCCCCCUUUCGGGCGGUGUACUUCCCGCGGUCAGGCCAGUAUCAGUUUGGGCGGAGGGUUAAAGGUCCCGGGAAUGUGAUACCCUUCGGGGUAUGUUAUAGCCCGGGGCGGAAUGCCUCCUGCCCGGACUGAGGAACGCGCUUCGGCUCGGAUACUGGCGUAAUGGUUGUAAGCGACCCGUCUUGAAACACGGACCAAGGAGUCUAACAUCUAUGCGAGUGUUUGGGUGUCAAACCCAUGCGCGGAAUGAAAGUGAACGGAGGUGGGAGCCUUUGGGCGCACCAUCGACCGAUCCUGAUGUCUUCGGAUGGAUUUGAGUAAGAGCAUAGCUGUUGGGACCCGAAAGGUACGUCAUAACUUUCUUUGUUCUUUCCUCGUUUUUUUUUUUCUUCUGUUCAAAUUUUGUAUGUUAUAAAAUAGAAAUACAAGCUAAUAGAUUUGUGUUUCUAGAUGGUGAACUAUGCCUGAAUAGGGUGAAGCCAGAGGAAACUCUGGUGGAGGCUCGCAGCGGUUCUGACGUGCAAAUCGAUCGUCAAAUUUGGGUAUAGGGGCGAAAGACU